AUUGAACGCUGGCGGCAGGCCUAACACAUGCAAGUCGAGCGAGCGGCGGACGGGUGAGUAAUGUGUGGGAAACUGCCUGAUGGAGGGGGAUAACCACUGGAAACGGUAGCUAAUACCGCAUACCAUCAGAUGUGCCCAUAUGGGAGUAGCUAGUAGGUUGGGUAACGGCUCACCUGGGCGACGAUCCCUAGCUGGUCUGAGAGGAUGACCCGCCACACCGGAACUGAGACACGGUCCAGACGCCUACGGGAGGAAGCAGUGGGGAAUAUUGCACAAGGGGCGCAAGCCUGAUGCAGCCAGGCGGCGGGGGUGAGGAGGGCCUUCGGGUUGUAAAGCACGUUCAGCGGGGAGGCGGUACCCGCAGAAGAAGCACCGGCUAACUCCGUGCCAGCAGCCGCGGUAAUAC
rnacentral:rRNA from 1 species